rnacentral:rRNA from 1 species
AACGAACGUUAGCGGCGCGCUUAACACAUGUAAGUCGAACGAGAAAGGGCUUCGGCCCCGGUACAGUGGCGCACGGGUGAGCAACACGUGGGUAACCUUCCCUCGAGCGGGGGAAAACGUUCCGAAAGGAGCGCUAAUACCGCAUAAGACCACGGCCUCGAAAGAGGCUGAGGUAAAAGUAGGCCUCUGAAUUCACGCUACACUCGAGGAUGGGCCCGCGGCCCAUCAUGGUAGUUGGUAGGGUAACGGCCUACCAAGCCGAAGACGGGUAGCUGGUCUUAGAGGAUGAUCAGCCACACUGGAACUGAGACACGGUCCAGACUCCUACGGGAGGCAGCAGUGGGGAAUCUUGCGCAAUGGGCGAAAGCCUGACGCAGCGACGCCGCGUGGGUGAUGAAGGCCUUCGGGUCGUAAAGCUCUGUGGGGAGAGACGAAUAAAGCGGGAAUAAUACUCUCGACGAUGACGGUAUCUCCUUAGCAAGCACCGGCUAACUCUGUGCCAGCCGCCGCGGUAAAAC